UCCCAGCUCCCCCUGUGAACGCUCCUGUUUGUGGGUUAUGUUCCACACGCCGGUUUCCUCUUGUUUUCACUCCAAGUCUCCCGUUAGGUUGCGUCUGACUCUGGGUUUCCUUAUCAGCGCGGCACAGGCGGCCCUUUGCCUCUUAUCUGCCAGCAGCAGCUACAUCCCCAGUCCAACGAGCAGGAAACCUCUCGCCGGGCGGGGGGGGGGGCGGGGGCGUGGAUCAGACUUCUUCAAAUCUUAGUGGCCCCAGAGCGAGCGGUGGCUUGUGUGGGCGAGGGGGGCUGGCAAGUAAGAUGGGGGGGAGCUGAGGCCGGGAAAGACGCUUCAGCCUAUUUGACUCCAACCCCCCCCAAAAGAACCCCAAAGUUUCACCCUAGCACCCGCCGAGGAGACGGAGACUCGCGCCCCAGGCCAUGGACCCUGCGCAUGGUGGCCGGGAACGAGCAUGUGGCCCACUUGUGGGUUGCCUUUCCUUUGAGAAAUACCAUGAGGCCGGGAGAUGCAACUAGAGAGGGAAAUAUGUCCCGGGGAUUGGGUCAGGACCAAUGUGCAGUGGAACUGCCUGGAAAUAAACACUUGACAGGUCCUGCAAUUGCAGAUCAGAUGAGGA